GUGCUCGCUUUAGAGACACAUACUAAAAUUGGCACAAAACAGAGAAGACUCGCAUGGCCCCUGUGUAAGGAUAACACAAAAAUUCAUGAAAUAUUCCAUGUUUUU